rnacentral:rRNA from 1 species
CCUACGGGGGGCUGCAGUGGGGAAUAUUGGACAAUGGGGGCAACCCUGAUCCAGCCAUGCCGCGUGUGCGAAGAAGGCCCUCGGGUUGUAAAGCACUUUCAGUGAGGAAGAACGCCUGGUGGUUAAUACCCAUCAGGAAAGACAUCACUCACAGAAGAAGCACCGGCUAACUCCGUGCCAGCAGCCGCGGUAAUACGGAGGGUGCGAGCGUUAAUCGGAAUCACUGGGCGUAAAGCGCGCGUAGGUGGCUUGAUAAGCCGGUUGUGAAAGCCCCGGGCUCAACCUGGGAACGGCAUCCGGAACUGUCAAGCUAGAGUGCAGGAGAGGAAGGUAGAAUUCCCGGUGUAGCGGUGAAAUGCGUAGAGAUCGGGAGGAAUACCAGUGGCGAAGGCGGCCUUCUGGACUGACACUGACACUGAGGUGCGAAAGCGUGGGUAGCAAACAGGAUUAGAUACCCUAGUAGUC